UAGAAGCUGCUACUCCUUUGUGGUAUCCUGGGUGAUGUAGGUGGUGUGUAACCACCAGUAGCCUCUGACUUUGGGGUUGUUGUUUUGUUACUCCUUUCAUUUUGUUGGUUUUGGCAAACCUCAAUAAAGUCGAAGAAGCUCA